CGAUGAAGGAAGCAUGGUAAUGUGCGCAAAGAUUGAAUUUCAGGUUAACAUGUCUGCUCUCUGUGAUGCCUUUCGCGCUAUGAUCUGAGGGCCUGGUUCAUACCUAUAUUU
rfam:Punica granatum cultivar Dabenzi scaffold586, whole genome shotgun sequence.